GGAGAGAUGGCUGAGUGGUUGAAAGCACCGGUCUUGAAAACCGGCGUGCGUUUAUAGCGCACCUAGGGUUCAAAUCCCUAUCUCUCCGCCA
rnacentral:tRNA from 7 species